rnacentral:rRNA from 1 species
AGCUCCAAUAGCGUAUAUUAAAGUUGUUGCAGUUAAAAAGCUCGUAGUUGGAUUUCUGGUGGCGCGGGCCGGUCCGCCCCGCAAGGGGUGUGAACUGUUGCUGUGUGCUACCUUUGUUGUCGGGAGUGGUUCUGGCAUUAGGUUGUCGGGGCCAGGAUCGGCAUCGUUUACUGUGAAAAAAUUAGAGUGUUUAAAGCAGGCUUACGCCGCUGAAUACAUUAGCAUGGAAUAAUAAGAUAAGACUUUGGUGGUCUAUUUUGUUGGUUUGCACGCCAAGGUAAUGAUUAAUAGGGAUAGUUGGGGGUAUCCAUAUUUCAUGGUCAGAGGUGAAAUUCUUGGAUUCAUGAAAGAUGCACUACUGCGAAAGCAUUUACCAAGGAUGUUUUCAUUAAUCAAGAAC